GUACCAACACAGCAGCAAAUCCAAUCAACCCUCCAUCUGAUUCAGCCUCGAGCAAACAAGAUAAAGUUCUGUAUGCCAGUGUAGAACGCAAGAGUGUGACUGACUCCAGGAACACUGCAGAGAGAUCUGCCUUGAAAGCUUCUGCCUCUGAGGAGGAGGAGGUUCAGUACGCUAGUGUCAGAUUUACUUGUGCCGGUGCUGACUACAGGUCUGACAGUGCAGAGGAUCCCAGUGUGAUCUACAGCAGUCUGAAAUAAACACCAUUCACCCAUGAAUCAACGUCAGCACAAUUUCCACCUGCUACACUGUUUCUGACUGUUCCUGAGAUUCUCCACCACUGAGUGACUUGCCAAGAAGAGGCCACUGUAGAACCAUGACUGCCUCCUGAGCUCUAAUGUCUGAAACUUCAGCCAGCAGUGACUGCUGAUCAUCACUGUUGAGUCAUAACCACUGCCAAAAGCCCAAGACCUAAACAUUCUGUCCUUUUUUACUCCCACAUUA